AACACAGGUGCUGCAUGGCUGCGUCAGCUCGUGUCGUGAGAUGCUGGUUAAGUCCCGCAACGAGCGCAACCCUUGUCACUAGUUGCCAUCAUUUAGUUGGGCACUCUAGUGAGACUGCCGGUGACAAACCGGAGGAAGGUGGGGAUGACGUCAAGUCCUCAUGGCCCUUAUGGGUAGGGCUUCACACGUCAUACAAUGGUCGGUACAGAGGGUUGCCAAGCCGCGAGGUGGAGCCAAUCCCUUAAAGCCGAUCGUAGUCCGGAUCGUAGUCUGCAACUCGACUACGUGAAGUCGGAAUCGCUAGUAAUCGCAGAUCAGCAUGCUGCGGUGAAUACGUUCCCGGGUCUU
rnacentral:rRNA from 1 species